CAUACUUUUCACUUUGUUUCCUACAUACAUUAUUUUGAGUUUACCUAUUUGUCAUAGUUGGUAGCUACAAAGUAUUCCAUUUUAAUUAUCUAUGUUGAGCUUUUUUUUUUUACUCAACCAAUUCUAAUAUUCACAGGAAGCACAAUUUCUCCAUAUCCGUCUCUAAUAGGUCAGUAUGGACCAUUUGUUUCAUUCCUGCUUCUUCCUCAAAGUUGCAACUCUACUAUUUUCACCAGCUGUGUCAAAACAGGGUUUGUGAAGUGACAGGUUAAAAUAUGCAGAUCAUUUGAAGUAAUUUCUUUUCUUUACCAAAUUAAACAAUGACUGUAUGCCUUGUUUCAUCUUUUGUUGUUCAUCUGUAUAGGGCCCUUUUCACUCUUUUAUUUUUAAAAUUCUAUGUUUUAUUUUUUGUUUUGAGAGGGGGUCUUGCUCUGUCACCCAGGCUGGAGUGCAGUGGCGUGAUCUGGGCUCACUGCAACCUCUGCCUCCCAGAUUCAAGCGAUUCUCCUGCCUCAGCCUACUGAGUAGCUGGGAUUACAGGCGUGCACCACCACGCUGGGCUAAUUUUUGUAUUUUUAGUAGAGACGGGGUUUCACCAUAUUGACCAGGCUGGUCUCAAGCUCCUGACCUCAGGUGAUCCACCCGCCUCCGCCUCCCAAAGUGCUGGGAUUAAGAGGUAUGAGCCACCACGCCUGGCCCUAAACUUCUAUUUUUAAAGAGACAUGGUCUCUUGAACCCCUGAGCUCAAGGGAUCCUAUUGCCUCAGUCUCCCAAGUAGCUGGGGCUACAGGCGUGCACCACCACACUCCAGCUCAUCAUUCUGUCAUUAUAUUUCAGUUAUUUCAUGUGUCAGUGACUGAAAGUGAACGUAUGAUAAUCUUGUGAACACAGGGCUUCACAGUGGAAAGAAAACUACAUUCUAUACCUCAUUCCUUCUUCAAUACAAGCAUCUGCAGGAAAAGAGGAAAAAAGAGGCGGGACCAUCUAUUAUUCAACAAAUUUCAACUUCACCCUGCCCAUCUGGAUCUAGUCUCCCUCAUUAAAUGCAAAGGAUGCUGCCACCUGGCUCCUCUCCCUAGCAGUAUUCACAUCAUCUAGGCUAGAAAAUCCCUUCCCUUUGGCCCGUUUUGCACAAAACCGAGUAAACAUUUUCAAAGUAUAUACACGCAAAAUCAUUUGCUAUCUCUUUACUAUGUAUGAUGCGCAUAGGUGUUACUGAAUAUUUUGGAGCCUUGAUGGAUAAAGUAUGGGAUGUUGAGGAUCGGGGAAUGUAUCUAAACUUUCAAGUUGUGUCCUAUUCAAAAAACUCCCUUCUAAAAGCAUUUUUACGGUAUGUAGGGUUUUACUGGAACAAAAUCUCUACUUAAUAACAGCGGAUCCCCUUUUAUUAUCUUUGUGCCUACCUAGAUGCACGGUUCCAGCAUGUUCUCGUCACGAACCACAAGCCCACCAGAGGGCGCUGGUUCCCCGUCUACCUACUGUUCUCCAUCAACGACUCAGAAAAUCCAGGUUAAACACUCAGGCAGUCUUUCACAUUUAAUCCACAAAUAUUUACCGAGAAUUUGACGUGCCACCAGGCGCGGGGCUAGGUUCACAAGAUACAGUAGUGAGUUAGGCACGAUUCCUACUACCAGAAGCUUAGAGCAUAGGGAAGACUAAAAGUAAGCCACCGGCUACAAUAGUAGGUAUAAGUGGAGAGUUUCUAGGUCCGUGGAGUUUGUUGUUGAAUAUCUGCUCCAGGCCUUAGAAGCCGGCAGCAAUUCACUAAAAGAUCCCGGACUUGUUUCUGCUCUGUAUCCCAGGCAAGGAGCUCCGUCCCCAAGGUGUUUUGUUAGAGUCAGAGACCUCUCCUUGGGUGAUUCCAUUCGUCAGCCCCACAAGUCCCCGUCUCUGGCCUUUUUCAGGGUCUCCGGCAGCUCUCUGACAGUUCCCCUUAUGCCUCAGGUCGACACUUACUCCAAGGACCAGGGAUUACUCACAACCAUCCGCCAGAGUUUGCUCCGCCCUUUCUUUUUCCUGUUUAAAAUCCGCGGGCUCUUAGUGUUCUCGGUUCCUAGAUUUCCUGUUCUGAUUCUCGCGACAGUUGCGAGGCCUCGCGUGAAGUUCCCUUCUAGUCCCUAUUUCGAAUUUGAGACCGGGAGAGAGUGUCUGCCCUUGCCCACCUCCUCAGAACCCCUCUGGCCAGGGAUGGCGCCUACGUGGCUCGGGAGCCCCUGAAUGAAUGGGCUUGGCCCAACUCAGGGGCACAUUCCGACGGGAGAGUCCUGGCUGUAUUCCGGCGCCCCAGUGCGCAUGCGGAGUCGAUCCCGCGCAGGCGGGCGGGGACGGCAGCCGGGUCUUGUGGGCGGAGCCUGACUAAGUACCGCCCCCUUGCCGGCUGCAGAUUGCUAUUUCUGCCCCCGACCCUCGCCCAUCCCCCCGCGAGCUGGACUGCGCCGAGGCUUCUGUGAGCCGCUUGGGGCCGGCCGGGGCGGGGCGGGGCGGGGCCUGCCCGACCCGGGUUUGGCUGGCGGGCUCCUAGGAAUGCUCUCCUCCCCGCCCCCGGCCCAAAGUGCCACGGUGGCGGUGGUGGCGGCCGCGAGGCCGAGUGUCCCCGGCCCUGCCAGCCUCGCAACCGUAACCUGUAAUCCCGACCCGAGGGACGCCCGCCGGGGAGGCGCCAGCCCGCCUCUCCCUGCGGCCGCUGGUCGGCUCCGACCUCGAAUCACCCGGCUCACCCGGGGGUCGCAGCACCUGCCAGAUGUGGGGAGGAAGAAGGAGGCCAGAUGAGGGAAGGCGGAUGUAGGCGCCCAGUCUGUCCGCGCCUUGGUGGGGCAGCUGGGUGGGCAAGCCUGCGGUCGCUCCCGGAAACCAGCCCUGGGCUGCGGGGAGACGAAGGUGGUUGGUCCUGCCCUCCAGGAGCGCCCCGACAUCGACGUAAAAUGACUUGGCACCAGAGCUCCUGCCGCCUCCCCCUUAUGCAGCUGCCCUCGCCGACGCCAGGGACUGUAAAGUCAGAUGGGACAGGGCCUAGCCGUUCAGCCAACACUUUGAGCUUCCCAGCCAAAUUCCUACCCCUACUCCCCGCCUCCGGUCCUCACCCCCUUCCUCUCUCCCAGCCUCGGUGUCUGGUUACGGCUCCUCUGCUCGCAUUGUGACUUUGGGCCAGGCUGGGGGAAAUGACCCGGGAGGGUCCCAUGCGGCUACAUAAAAUUGGCAGCCUUAGAACUAGUGGGAAGGCGGGUGCGCGAAGUCGAGGGGCGGAGAGACGGGGGCGGAGGAGCUGCUUUCAGAAUCCAAGUUCGUGGGCUCUCUCAGAAGUCCUCAGGAAGGAGCAGAGGUGGCUGGCGGGCCCAGCUGACUGCGCCUCUGCUUUCUUUCCAUAACCUUGUCUUUCGGACUCGAAUCACGGCUGCUGCGAAGGGUCUAGUUCCGGACACUAGGGUGCCCGAACGCGCUGAUGCCCCGAGUGCUCGCAGGGCUUCCCGCUAACCAUGCCGCCGCCGCCGCCCGCAGCUGCCUUGGCGCUGCCUGUGCUCCUGCUACUGCUGGUGGUGCUGACGCCGCCCCCGACCGGCGCAAGGCCAUCCCCAGGCCCAGAUUACCUGCGGCGCGGCUGGCUGCGGCUGCUAGCGGAGGGCGAGGGCUGCGCUCCCUGCCGGCCAGAAGAGUGCGCCGCGCCGCGGGGCUGCCUGGCGGGCUGGGUGCGCGACGCGUGCGGCUGCUGCUGGGAAUGUGCCAACCUCGAGGGCCAGCUCUGCGACCUGGACCCCAGUGCUCACUUCUACGGGCACUGCGGCGAGCAGCUUGAGUGCCGGCUGGACACAGGCGACGACCUGAGCCGCGGAGAGGUGCCGGAACCUCUGUGUGCCUGUCGUUCGCAGAGUCCGCUCUGCGGGUCCGACGGUCACACCUACUCCCAGAUCUGCCGCCUGCAGGAGGCGGCCCGCGCUCGGCCCGAUGCCAACCUCACUGUGGCACACCCGGGGCCCUGCGAAUCGGGGCCCCAGAUCGUGUCACAUCCAUAUGACACUUGGAAUGUGACAGGGCAGGAUGUGAUCUUUGGCUGUGAGGUGUUUGCCUACCCCAUGGCCUCCAUCGAGUGGAGGAAGGAUGGCUUGGACAUCCAGCUGCCAGGGGAUGACCCCCACAUCUCUGUGCAGUUUAGGGGUGGACCCCAGAGGUUUGAGGUGACUGGCUGGCUGCAGAUCCAGGCUGUGCGUCCCAGUGAUGAGGGCACUUACCGCUGCCUUGCCCGCAAUGCCCUGGGUCAAGUGGAGGCCCCUGCUAGUUUGACAGUGCUCACACCUGACCAGCUGAACUCUACAGGCAUCCCCCAGCUGCGAUCACUAAACCUGGUUCCUGAGGAGGAGGCUGAGAGUGAAGAGAAUGACGAUUACUACUAGGUCCAGAGCUCUGGCCCAUGGGGGUGGGUGAGCGGCUAUAGUGUUCAUCCCUGCUCUUGAAAAGACCUGGAAAGGGGAGCAGGGUCCCUUCAUCGACUGCUUUCAUGCUGUCAGUAGGGAUAAUAUGGGAGGCCUAUUUGACUCCAAGGUAGCAGUGUGGUAGGAUAGAGACAAAAGCUGGAGGAGGGUAGGGAGAGAAGCUGAGACCAGGACCGGUGGGGUACAAAGGGGCCCAUGCAGGAGAUGCCCUGGCCAGUAGGACCUCCAACAGGUUGUUUCCCAGGCUGGGGUGGGGGCCAGAGCAGACACAGAGGUGCAGGCACCAGGAUUCUCCACUUCUUCCAGCCCUGCUGGGUCACAGUUCUAACUGCCCUUCCUCCCAGGCCCUGGUUCUUGCUAUUUCCUGGUCCCCAACGUUUAUCUAGCUUGUUUGCCCUUUCCCCAAACUCAUCUUCCAGAACUUUUCCCUCUCUCCUAAGCCCCAGUUGCACCUACUAACUGCAGUCCCCUUUGCUGUCUGCUGUCUUUUGUACAAGAGAGAGAAUAGCGGAGCAUGACUUAGUUCAGUGCAGAGAGAUAGGUGAGGCCAGCUCGAGAUCUUAUACCACUCUGUAUUGGACAAAGCCUAGCACAGGGCUAGGCACCAAUAAAGAUUUCUAAUGAUGCACAGACAGAUGCACAGACAGUUUAUGCAGAUGUGCACAUGAAAACUGAAUAUCCCUGGGAGGCCUCCCACACUAACAGAACUCUGGCUUCCAGAAGCUGCAGGGCCUGCUCUCUAAGCACAUGCAUGCCAGAUGUACAAAGAGAAAGUUUGAACUUGGGCCUAUCCCGCCUUUGAGGGAGGGAGGCUGGAGCCAUCUGGCUGGAGGGAAGUUAUCUUCCCAGUCUGCCCUCCAUUGGGGCUGGUAUACAUUACCUGCUUCUUUGCUUAUCUUAUUCCAAACCCUUCCCCAGGCCAGAAUGGGGAACAGGGCUAUGUGGGUAGGCCCCCAAAAUGAAAGCAUAAACUGGAUAGAGGAGGGUGGAAGUUUGGUCACCUGUGUGGUCCAUACCCUUCCCCAGCUCCCAUAGGAAUCUACCCAUUUCCUGCAGAAGCCAGAGCCAUGGUAAGGCUGUUUCCUAUCUGCCCCAAUUGUGACCUGUCCUCUCUGGCUUGGGGUCCCCAAAUCUCUUUCCUCAUUCUCAUUACCUAUCCCAGGGACACUGGUGAGACUCAAUGUUUAUUUAAUGAUUGGAGGAAAGAAUGAAAGCAUAAGUCAGCGAGGCCGAGGCGCUGUGUGUAGAUGGCGACAGCCUCCUACACGCCAGGGCUCCACCCGGAUCCUGGCGCCACUGCGGGAGGGCCUGCCCUUGGCUCAGCGUCAGAGUUUGUCCUCUGGGGCCCAACGCAGGGAGCCUGGCCACAUGGGAGGGGUGUGGUCCGGAACUCCAACCCCAGGUCCUGCUUGGCCGCCCCUCCCGCGGCUACGCACUACUCCAUCUACUGCUGGCUUGCCCCGGGUCCUUAAGCCAGCGACAGUUUUUAUUGCCGAACCCAGGCUGGAGGCGGGCGGCCCUAGGAGCCGCGCACAACAGCGCAAGCGGGCUGGAUACCGGGAGCCGAUUCCAGGGCGCCCACAGAAGCAGAAUCAGAGGGGUUGCUCACACCCGAGAUGUGAGGUUCCAGGAGCGCCGACCCAGAGUUGCCAGGCCUGAAGGCGGGAGAGGCUCAGUCGCACCCUACAUUUCCCACCUCCAAGAUUUUAAGUAUAGUUCGCUUGAAAUCCCUGGAAUGCGCUUUCUUCUGGCUCCUACCCGGAGAUCCGGAGUCCGGACAAACCGGAGCGGGAAGGGUCCGUCGGACCAGCUCCUCCCAAGCCGAAGCUUCCAGGUCUCGGCCGGGCUCUUCUCCCUGCUUUUAGCUGAGCCGGGCUGGGCGUGCCUCUCUCCUCCAUCUAGAGCAGGGUGUGAAGAGGAAGCCAGAGGGGGCCGUCUGAAAAUGACCCUGACUCCCUCCUCGGGCUGUCGUGAGGAGGAGGGCCGCUUCGCCCGGCUGCUUGUCAUCGCGAAGGCUCCAAAGAAGGGUUGCGCAGCCGUGCUGGUAUAACCGAGGGUGUCCUGGCGAAGCCCAGCCCCUGGAGCCCUGGUGACCGGGGGGGUCGAUGUGCGGACUGGGCAGAACCGGAGCCCGAAGCUGGAGAGCGCCCCUCAAAAAGAAGCCUGGAAGCCCGAGAGAUGAACCCGACUCAGAGAGGGCCAAGACUGCAGAACUUGGGGACCGCGGACACCCUCGCCACGCUGGUGGGGGCUGGGGGGAUGGCGCGGGCGGUGGCGUGCGGGGAAGCGCCUGGGGAACACCUGGCUCCGCAAGUUUUGUGCCUUAGCGGAAAGAGGCGACAUCUCUAGCAAGUUGGGAGUACAGGAAGUAGCGAAGGAGUGCCAUCUGGUGGAUCCUUCUGGUAGUGACACUCAGACCUGGGCCAGGGGCCUUGAGACAAUUUACUUGACUGGAAAAAUCUGAAUAAAAUACAGAUGUUUCAA